GAUGAACGCUGGCGGCGUGCCUAAUACAUGCAAGUCGAGCGAACGGACGAGAAGCUUGCUUCUCUGGUGUUAGCGGCGGACGGGUGAGUAACACGUGGAUAACCUACCUAUAAGACUGGGAUAACUUCGGGAAACCGUAGCUAAUACCGGAUAAUAUUUUGAACCGCAUGGUUCAAAAGUGAAAGACGGUCUUGCUGUCACUUAUAGAUGGAUCCGCGCUGCAUUAGCUAGUUGGUAAGGUAACGGCUUACCAAGGCAACGAUGCAUAGCCGACCUGAGAGGGUGAUCGGCCACACUGGAACUGAGACACGGUCCAGACUCCUACGGGAGGCAGCAGUAGGGAAUCUUCCGCAAUGGGCGAAAGCCUGACGGAGCAACGCCGCGUGAGUGAUGAAGGUCUUCAGAUCGUAAAACUCUGUUAUUAGGGAAGAACAUAUGUGUAAGUAACUGUGCACAUCUUGACGGUACCUAAUCAGAAAGCCACGGCUAACUACGUG
rnacentral:rRNA from 1 species